rnacentral:rRNA from 1 species
UCCAGACUCCUACGGGAGGCAGCAGUGGGGGAUAUUGCACAAUGGGGGGAACCCUGAUGCAGCGACGCCGCGUGGGUGAAGAAGCGCCUCGGCGCGUAAAGCCCUGUCAGCAGGGAAGAAAAUGACGGUACCUGAAGAAGAAGCCCCGGCUAACUACGUGCCAGCAGCCGCGGUAAUACGUAGGGGGCAAGCGUUAUCCGGAUUUACUGGGUGUAAAGGGAGCGUAGACGGCCAGACAAGUCUGAAGUGAAAAUCCAGCGCUUAACGUUGGAAGUGCUUUGGAAACUGCCGGGCUAGAGUGCAGGAGGGGCAGGCGGAAUUCCUAGUGUAGCGGUGAAAUGCGUAGAUAUUAGGAGGAACACCAGUGGCGAAGGCGGCUUACUGGACAGUAACUGACGCUGAGGCGCGAAAGCGUGGGGAGCAAACAGGAUUAGAUACCCCAGUAU